rnacentral:rRNA from 1 species
CGAACGUUGGCGGCGUGCUUAACACAUGCAAGUGGAGGGAUGAAGCACCUUCGGGUGUGAAUUAGCGGCGAACGGGUGAGGAACACGUGAAGAAUCUGCCUUCAACUCUGGGAUAACUCCGGGAAACCGGGGCUAAUACCGGAUAUGAGCCUUGAUCGCAUGAUCGGGGCUGGAAAGUUUUUCGGUUGAAGAUGACUUCGCGGCCUAUCAGCUUGUUGGUGAGGUAAUGGCUCACCAAGGCGACGACGGGUAGCCGGCCUGAGAGGGCGACCGGCCACACUGGGACUGAGACACGGCCCAGACUCCUACGGGAGGCAGCAGUGGGGAAUAUUGGGCAAUGGAGGAAACUCUGACCCAGCGACGCCGCGUGAGGGAUGAAGGCCUUCGGGUUGUAAACCUCUUUCAGUAGGGAAGAAGCGAAAGUGACGGUACCUACAGAAGAAGCACCGGCUAACUAUGUGCCAGCAGCCGCGGUAAUACAUAGGGUGCAAGCGUUGUCCGGAAUUAUUGGGCGUAAAGAGCUCGUAGGUGGUUCGAUACGUCGGAUGUGAAAAUCAGGGGCUCAACCCCUGACCUGCAUCCGAUACGGUCGAGCUAGAGUUUGGUAGGGGAGACUGGAAUUCCUGGUGUAGCGGUGGAAUGCGCAGAUAUCAGGAGGAACACCGAUGGCGAAGGCAGGUCUCUGGGCCAAUACUGACACUGAGGAGCGAAAGCGUGGGGAGCGAACAGGAUUAGAUACCCUGGUAGUCCACGCCGUAAACGGUGGGCGCUAGUUAUGCGAACCUUCCACGGUUUGUGCGACGCAGCUAACGCAUUAAGCGCCCCGCCUGGGGAGUACGAUCGCAAGAUUAAAACUCAAAUGAAUU